rnacentral:rRNA from 1 species
GUAGGUGGCAAGCGUUGUCCGGAAUUAUUGGGCGUAAAGCGCGCGCAGGCGGUUCUUUAAGUCUGAUGUGAAAGCCCACGGCUCAACCGUGGAGGGUCAUUGGAAACUGGAGAACUUGAGUACAGAAGGGGAAAGCGGAAUUCCACGUGUAGCGGUGAAAUGCGUAGAGAUGUGGAGGAACACCAGUGGCGAAGGCGGCUUUCUGGUCUGUAACUGACGCUGAGGCGCGAAAGCGUGGGGAGCAAACAGGGAUUAGAUACCCUGGUAGUCCACGCCGUAAACGAUGAGUGCUAAGUGUUAGGGGGUUUCCGCCCCCUUAGUGCUGCAGCUAACGCAUCAAGCACUCCGGCCUGGGAGUACGGCCGCAAGGCUG